rnacentral:rRNA from 1 species
AGCGAACGCUGGCGGCAGGCCUAACACAUGCAAGUCGAACGAACUCUUCGGAGUUAGUGGCGGACGGGUGAGUAACACGUGGGAACGUGCCUUUUGGUUCGGAAUAACUCAGGGAAACUUGUGCUAAUACCGAAUGUGCCCUUCGGGGGAAAGAUUUAUCGCCAUUAGAGCGGCCCGCGUCUGAUUAGCUCGUUGGGUAGGUAACCGCUCACCAAGGCGCCGAUCAGUAGCUGGUCUGAGAGGAUGACCAGCCACACUGGGACUGAGACCCGGCCCAGAAUCCUACGGGAUGGAGCAGUGGGGAAUCUUGCGCAAUGGGGGAAAGCCUGACGCAGCCAUGCCGGGUGAAUUAUGAAGGUCUUAGGAAUGUAAUAUUCUUUCAACGGGGACGAUAAUGACGGUACCCGGAGAAGAAGCCCCGGCUAACUUCGUG